GAUGAAGAACGCAGCGAAAUGCGAUACUUGGUGUGAAUUGCAGAAUCCCGUGAACCAUCGAGUCUUUAAACGCAAGUUGCGCCCGAAGCCAUUAGGCCGAGGGCACGCCUGCCUGGGCGUCACACGUCGUUGCCCCCCCAUCUACUCCUUCGGGAUUGCGGGGGGCGGAUGAUGGCCUCUCGUGCGCCUCGUCGCGCGGUUGGCCUAAAUGCCAAGUCCUCGGCGACGCACGCCACGACAAUCGGUGGUUGCGAAACCUCGGUUGCCUGUCGUGUGCGGUCGUCGCGCAUCGAGGGCUCGAAAAAAUUGCCGGGCUUCGGCUCGACUUUCAACGCGACCCCAGGUCAGGCGGGGUUACCCGCUGAAUUUAAGCAUAUCAAUAAGCGGAGGA
rnacentral:misc_RNA from 1 species